UUCUAGAGGACCUACGAACUCUUCGUGUCAAAAACGAGGUUCUGCUGACUGGCAGAGGAGUGAAGCAGGAGUACAACAAGGUUGAUGUGAGCUGACCGAGCAGCAGCUGCAGGAAACAACAUCUAAAGACUGUAAUUAGUGCAGGAGCACAAACACACUCGACCCGCUUCGUUUCCUCGUCUGUGAAGUGAUUCGUUCGGAGAGAGGAAGUUUGAAACGCGGCGCAGAUGGAACCGCAGCUCCGCCCUGCGCCACAGCUAAUCAGUGCCACAGCAACGAUGAGCCGUGAGAACGGUUCCUGUUCUCCUCUUUAUGCCACAAAACAUCCAGACAUUCAAAAUCAAUGAACCACAACAACAAAACUGCUGGCCGCUGCGCAGCAGCAACUACAGCGGCGCUGCUGGGGGUCAUGGAGGUUCUACCAGUUACCAGUCAGUCCAGACAGCAAAGCUAAAUAUUUAGUCUGAAGUUAAAUAUUUAGUCUGAAAGGAAAGAAUGGAGCCGUCAUUCUACAGCAUCAUACCAGCAGAACCCGGUUCACUUCCUGUUUCCUGGAGAUUCCCAGGAUGGAAGCAACCUUCAUGUUUCCAUCGCUCUUCCUCAGCUCAGCCCUCCUCUUCCUCAGAACAUGAAGGAUCCUGUUGUGUCAAACGAGGCUGACCUUGAAUCAGUGACCUUGAAUCAGUGACCUUGGAUCAGUGACCUUGGAUUGGAGAGUGAAGGUCACCGCCUCUGGCUUGUUUUCUUGUUUCUGCAGAUGGAGUUCUGGGCUCGUUUGUUUUUGUCUGUUCUGUUGUAACCUCUGGAUUCUUGGUGAAUAAAUGAACUUUGGUGAAUUGGA